UAGCCAUCGAAUCUACAGUUGAAAAAUAUGGACUCA
rnacentral:sRNA from 1 species